CCUACGGGAGGCAGCAGUGAGGAAUAUUGGGCAAUGGCCGAGAGGCUGAACCAGCCAAGUCGCGUGAGGGAAGACGGCCCUACGGGUUGUAAACCUCUUCUGUCGGGGAGCAAAGCGAACCACGUGUGGUUCAUUUAGAGUACCCGAAGAAAAAGCAUCGGCAAACUCCGUGCCAGCAGCCGCGGUAAUAUGGAGGAUGCGAGGGUUAUCCGGAUUUAUUGGGUUGAAAGGGUGCGUAGGCGGGCAUUUAAGCCGGCGGUCAAAUGUCGGGGCUAAACCCCGGCCUGCCGUCGGAACUGGGUGCCUUGAGUGGGCGAGAAGGAUGCGGAAUGCGUGGUGUAGCGGUGAAAUGCAUAGAUAUCACGCAGAACCCCGAUGGCGAAGGCAGCAUCCCGGCGCCCUACUGACGCUGAGGCACGAAAGUGCGGGUAUCGAACAGGAUUAGAUACCCGGGUAGUC
rnacentral:rRNA from 1 species